rfam:Clostridium sp. KLE 1755 genomic scaffold Scaffold983, whole genome shotgun sequence.
GGCGAAUCAACUCUGUACAACUGGAACCGAUGAAACAUUGUACAGAGG